ACACCUCAACUCUUCAUGGGUUUCCAUGAUGAGCUUGGACUUUGGGGGUCUUGCUGGCCUGUGGUCAGCUCCUCUCAAAUGAAUCAGCUUUCCAGUGUUUGGCAGCAUCACAGGUGUGAUAACUAUCUACGCUUGUGGUUUUCUGCCAGGUAAUCCUCAGUGAUGGGGAUUCGCUGGGGCUCAUAAACGUCUCUCCUCAGUGAAGACAGCUUUGUGAAU
rnacentral:misc_RNA from 1 species